UACGUAGGGUGCGAGCGUUGUCCGGAAUUAUUGGGCGUAAAGCGCGUGUAGGCGGCCAGGUAGGUCCGCUGUGAAAACCCGAGGCUCAACCUCGGGACGUCGGCGGAAACCAUUUGGCUAGAGUCCGGAAGAGGAGAGUGGAAUUCCCGGUGUAGCGGUGAAAUGCGCAGAUAUCGGGAAGAACACCCGUGGCGAAGGCGGCUCUCUGGGACGGUACUGACGCUGAGACGCGAAAGCGUGGGGAGCGAACAGG
rnacentral:rRNA from 1 species